AUUGGUGGGAGCCGUCAACCCUGGGUGCGUUCUCGCGGGCGCCCGCGCAAGGCACGCCGGGAAGCUGUUCGCGCCGCUGCCGCCAUUUUGACUCGUCUCCUUUUCAGCGGCGGCCGCGGCCCCUGUUGCCGAAGAGCGGCGGGGAGCGAGCGAGGGACGGCGUCGGCGUCGGCGUCGCUGGGGAGUUUCUUCUCUGGAUCCCAAGGCUGUGGAAGCAGCCGCCCGUUGGGAGGCAUCAUGAUUUCGGCCGCGCAGUUGUUGGAUGAGUUAAUGGGCCGAGACAGGAACUUGGCCCCUGACGAGAAGCGCAGCAACGUGCGAUGGGAUCAUGAGAGCGUUUGUAAAUAUUACCUCUGUGGUUUUUGUCCUGCUGAAUUGUUUACAAAUACCCGUUCAGAUUUAGGCCCAUGUGAAAAAAUUCAUGAUGAAAAUCUUCGGAAACAGUAUGAGAAGAGCUCUCGUUUUAUGAAAGUUGGUUAUGAAAGAGAUUUCCUGAGAUACUUACAGAGUUUACUUGCAGAAGUAGAGCGCAGAAUUCGACGAGGCCAUGCUCGUUUGGCACUCUCUCAAAACCAGCAGUCAUCUGGGGCAGCUGGACCUACUGGCAAAAAUGAAGAGAAAAUUCAAGUUCUAACUGACAAAAUUGAUGUACUUCUGCAACAAAUUGAAGAAUUGGGUUCUGAAGGAAAGGUAGAAGAGGCCCAAGGAAUGAUGAAACUUGUUGAACAAUUAAAAGAAGAAAGAGAAUUGCUUAGAUCUACAACGUCAACUAUUGAGAGUUUCGCAGCUCAAGAAAAACAGAUGGAAGUUUGUGAAGUGUGUGGAGCCUUUUUAAUAGUGGGAGAUGCCCAGUCCCGAGUAGACGAUCACUUGAUGGGAAAACAACACAUGGGCUAUGCCAAAAUUAAAGCCACUGUAGAAGAACUAAAAGAAAAGUUAAGGAAAAGAACUGAAGAACCCGAACGUGAUGAUCGUUUAAAAAAAGAAAAGCAAGAACGAGAAGAGAGAGAGAAAGAGAGGGAACGAGAAAGGGAAGAAAGGGAAAGAAAGAGACGAAGAGAAGAGGAAGAAAGGGAAAAGGAGAGGGUUCGAGACAGAGAAAGACGCAAGAGGAGUCGUUCUCGAAGUAGGCACUCAAGCCGGACCUCUGACAGAAGAUGCAGUAGGUCCCGGGAUCACAAAAGAUCAAGAAGUAGAGAAAGAAGGCGGAGCAGGAGUAGAGAUCGACGGAGAAGCAGAAGCCAUGAGAGAUCAGAAAGAAAACAUAGAUCUCGGAGUCGAGACCGAAGAAGGUCAAAAAGUCGAGAUCGGAAAUCAUAUAAGCAUAGAAGCAAAAGUCGGGACAGAGAGCAAGAUAGGAAAUCUAAGGAAAAAGACAAAAGAGGAUCAGAUGAUAAAAAAAGUAGUGUGAAGUCCAGUAGUCGAGAAAAACAGAGUGAAGACCCAAAUACUGAAUCGAAGGAAAGUGAUGCUAAGAAUGAGGUCAAUGGGACCAGUGAAGACAUUAAAUCUGAAGUGCAGCGUAAGUAUGCACAGAUGAAGAUGGAACUAAGCCGAGUAAGAAGACAUACAAAAGCACCUUCUGAAGGAAAAGACAGUGUAGUCCUGCAAAACAUUUUGAGGUACAUUGUUUUGUCUCAGCUAUUUUGUAGCAGACUCGUGCCCCCAUUAAGUGUGCCUCUUUGGAACUAUUGCCCACAUUUGUAAUUUAGUCGCCAUAGAACAUUUAAUUAUCCUUUUUUUUUUUAGGGAUUUUGCUGUCAUUUCUUUUUUUAAAAAAAAUUGAACUGUUUUUAUUUUUUUUUGUUUUUUGUUUUUUGGUAUUAAGUCCAUAUUGUGUUGGUACUUUGGCAGAGACAUUUGCUUUAAUACUUAAAUAUUUCUGAGGCACAUGUUGGACUACUUUGUUUUAUUUAAACUGCUAGUAUUUCUUUGUCAAGGAUGUUUCUAGUUUUUUGCUUUAUUGCCUUGCAUUCUAAUGCAGUUUGUUCUGUAACUCGAGAGCCAGUAGCAUUGGAUUGAUGGAAGUGUAGGGUUUAUGAAUUAUUGCAGCUGACUACCAUACCUCACACAGCGUUGGUGUUGUGAGCGGCCCCUGAAAAGCCAAAUUAAAAAUCAAGGAUUCAGUCAAACUAAGCAGGUACUCAUGCCAGGUACUCCUUUCUCUACCCACAUCCAUGUUUGAAUGCUAUUGCCUGUGAUCUUUAAGCUGACUGUUGUGUAUUCUUUCGUUGUUUACAAGAAGCACAGAGGGUUUUUUUUGUGUAUUGUGUGUAAAUCUAAUGUUAACAGAAUGGAAUUUUUUUUCAACUGUAUGUAGGGAUGCAGUGAUGCCCAGAAUUAGAUAUCUUUAAAGAAUUUUAACAUACAAUAAACACUCAGUAAUCGCCUUGUUACAUUCAAUGCAAUUCAAGUCUUUGAGAGGUAUGUCUUUAAUAUUUCCUACUGUGUAGGAGAACUUGAAGUCAGCCAUAAUAGGUAUACAGAAUAGUUAUUGGCUGAUAUGUAAAGCAAAUGAUAAUUGGAUAGGGCAGGCACCAGCUAUUUGCAAAAUGCCAGGAAACUGUUAACUGGAUAGAGUGGCAAAAUAUAUAAGAAGUUGGGUUUUUAAAGAACUUGUAAAAAUCAGGAUACAAGUAUGUUCUUAAAACCUAUAAUCUUUCAAUUCUUGGGCUGGUAGAGAUUUUUGUGGGAACAAAUAUUUUUAAUGAAAGGAAGUACCAAUUAAAAGAUUAUUCUCAGGGCAUUUAGUUUCUUCAAAUAAAACAACAGUGCAUUUACAGUAUGUAUAGACACAUCUACACAAGCACAUAUAUCUAUGCAUAGGUACAUUUAUUUUAAAGAUACACUCCUACAUAACUUGAAUUAUGGAUCUUUUUCAAACAUUUUUCACCCACAAAUGUUGAUUACACUAAGCAAUUAGUGGCUGGGCCAGCAUUUAGUAGUUAAAAUCAGAGCUUUUUAUAUGUUGUCUAAUUAUCAUUUUUCCCAUAAUUUUGCAUUGUAGGAUUAUGAUCUGAAGAGUUUCAGAAGAAUUCUGAAGACAGCGUAAAGUGAAGACCGACUUUAAAAUGAGAAAUCACAUCUGUGACAGCAAUAACAGCACAAAUGGGAAACAAACAUCCUACCUGAUAGGCAUCUGCCUUAGCAGAGAUCCAGGGUUGUUCUCAGGAAAAGAUGGAUCUGAAAUCCACUGACGCCCAAUGUUAAACGUGAGGAGACAGGCGCUGGAGCUCCUGGAGCCUCUCUCCCAUCCCCAGGUGCGAGGAGGGUUGGGAGGGGCAAGGGCAGGGGCAAAGUCCUGGGCUGGGAAUCUGCAUGGAGGAGGAAGGGGUGGCACCUCAAGGUCCAAGUUUUUGGGGGAAUCAUUAAACAUGUUGAACCCAUCAUUAGAGUAAAUGGCCUUGUUGAUACUAGGGGUGUCACUGGACCCAAGGGUGGGAUUCCUCCAGAUGGCAUGGCCUUGGAAGAAAAUGGGUGGGGGUGGGGAUGGGGUGAGGUACAGUGCAGUAGACUUUGGAUGCCCAACCCUAGGGCAGUGAAAUACAUAAGUUUCACUUGAUUUUCCGCCCUUUGUCCUGGGCUUUUCCUUUCUACAGGAAACUGCUGCCACUGAGGGGAAGAGGAGGCAGGCUCAGGCCUAGUUUUUUGGGCAAAUUUCUUAACUUUUAACCAUGGGUCCUGACGACGGAGGAAUUGAAGGAGUUACAGCAGCAGCAGCAGACGGAGGUUUUGCAGGAAAUUAGUGGGGAGGAGCCCGAGGUGGAUGAGGUAAUCAGUACAAGUGAGAUUAAGGAAAUGUUGAGGAUUUGGGAAAAAAAUUAAAAGUUUAUUGAAAAGACAUACCCAGAAAAAGUUGCAAUGGGUUGUGCAUUGGAGCUGUGUAAUGCCACUUGUUUCACACAUCAAAACAUUUUGAAAGGGAGGAAGAAACAAACUUCUAUGGGAAGAUUUUCUUUGAAAUGGCUUCUAAGUAAAAUCGAGGAAAGUGUGGCGAAAUGGCCAAAAUUCAAUGAAGAAAAUAAGUCAAGUAAAAAAAAUAGCAAUUACAUUUAGCAAUAAAAUUAACUUAUCAGUAAUGUGUAAGGUCAACUUUGCAUUUAAAUGCAGCACAUAACAUGUGUAGAGUCAGUUAUUUUAGGCAUGAAAUGAAAACCUGUGCCAGUAUCUUUGCCUGACCUUGAAGAUAAAUAAUAUUUUGUGAGCAAUUUUAUUUCUUUACAUUCUCUUAUUUAUAAAUAUAUUUAUUUGUUAUUUAUAAAAUACAUUUUCAUAUUUAAAAACAUAAAAAAUUUGCAUGUUUGGGGGGGCUGGAAUGGAUUAAUUGCAUUUCCAUUAAUUUAAAUGGGGGAAAUUCAGUUUGACAAAUGAGAAGAUUGAGUUCAAGCCUGGCCAUGGAAUGAAUUAAACUUGUGUGUCAAGGUGCCACUGUAUUAGGUAAGUGCUGCUGAGAACCUGUAAUUACUGUGAGUGGGAGGAGAUAGAUGGGAGAGAGGUAGGGGAGAUAUAAGAGAUAAAAUUUGGCAAUCUGAAUGAGAUUUAGGAGUCCAGUAUGAUACCAAGGUUAUGCACCUGGGUAAGCGAAAGGAUGGUGGGAUCUUCAGCAGAAAUAGGAAAUAUUGCAGAUAGUAGUUUAGCUAGAGCUCCAGGCCUGGAGGACAGGUAGUCCUGGUUCAAAUCUGACUUCAGAUACUUCCUAGCUGUUUGACCCUGGGUAAAUCACUUAACUUCAGUUGCCUAGCCUUUACCAAUUUUUUGCCUUGAAGUGAUACUUAGUAAUAAUGAUUCUAAGACAAGGUGAGUUUUUUAAAAAAUGGAAAUAGUAAAACUUGGAAGAAAGAAGCAUUUGAGGUGGCAACCAAUAAGCUCUGUUGUUUACUUUGAGCUCUUUAUGGGACGUUCAGUUCAAAAUAAUCCAGUAGGAAGUUGUUAAUAUAGAACUGGAAUUUAAAGAGAUUAAGCUGGAUUUAUAGGUCUGGGAGUCUUCAACCUCUCAGGUCACCUAUUACUGAAUUAAUUACUAAUUCUCAAAAGAUCUUUUUUCAGUUUUCAUCCUCCAUGACUUCUCUGGAGCAUUUGAUGCUGUUUGCUGCUCUUCCCUUCUUGAUUCUUCUUCUUUGGUUUCUCUGACACCAGACCUUCUUUACUGUCUGGCUCCCCUGUCCUCCAUUUUUAAGGCAUAUGUUCCCCAUAGUUCCAUCCCUAGUCCCUUUUUCUCUUAAUAUUCUCUUCCUGUCAAGUCUCAUUAGUUUUGAUGAUAACUCUCAUUUCUGUGGUGCUUUAAGCAUUACAGAGUGUUUUUCUCACAACAACCCUGUGAGAGUGUAAGAAUUGUUAUGAGCAAAUUCAGACUUCAGAAAGUUAAGGGAUUUACUCAUGGUCACACACAACUACUUGGGAUUUGAACCCAAGGCUCCUGAUUCCAAAUCCAGGACUCUUCUUACUGUACUCAAACUCUACAUGUCCAAAUUUUCAAUCCUCAAAUUGUUACUCGUGUUCUGCCAUUUCUCUCAGUGGUACCACCCUUCUCUAGUCUUCCAUGUUUGGGGUUAUUUUUCACUUCUCACCUUUCUUCCAAGGCUUCUUGACACUAUUUUCUCUGACCAAAAUCCCAUGCAUAUUGAGGUUAUAUGUGCUUAAGUGUGUGUGUGUGUGUGGGGGGGGGGAGGAUAAGCAUUUAUACAGUGCCCACUGUGUGCCAGCCACUGUACAAAGCAUUUUACAAAUGUUAACUUAUUCUAUCUAAAAAGUAUCCCAGAAGGGUAGGUGCUAUUAUAAUCCCUAUUUUAUAGUUGAAGAAACCAAGGCAGAUGGAGGUUAUAUGAUUUGCCCAGGGGUCACACAGGUAGCAAGUGUCUGAGGGGAGAUUUGAACUUGGAUUUUCCAGACUCUGGGCCUUGGACUCUAUCCAUUCUUCCAACAGCUGCAAGUACAGGGUGUUAUAGUAAAUAGAGAGCUGCCCUUAGCCAGACCUGGGAUCAAGUUCUACCCAGAGUAGGUAAAUCACUUAGUGCCCCUACGCUAUCUAAGAAUUUAAGAUGAAGAAUAUUUAAAAUCAGUAUCAGUAAAGUGAAUUUUUUUCCCUGAAAGAGUUCCCUACAAAAAUGAAAUCACAGGUUUACAUCUGUGAGUGUGAGAGAGGGAGAGGGCCCAUUCAUCUACAUUCUUGGCUAUUUAUAUUAUUGUUAUUUACUCCCUGGACCUGGAGUAAAAAAGUGAUUUAAAGAGGGUAAGUGGUGAUCUGGAUGCUGUGGACAGCUCUUCCACACACAUCCAGAAAUCCAGUCUUUGUCCAUUCUUUUCCUUUAUUCUGGCAUAAGCCUCAUGAGAAGACUGAGGAAGAGAUGACAGGAUCUGACUUAUGAUGGGCCAGUAGACCAUGUGAGAAAACGGAGCCAUGAUGUUAUACUGGCUUAGGUGUUGUGUUUUUUUUGUGUGUGUGUUUUUUUUUCUUUUCUGGCUUUGAGAAUUUGUACCCUUCUGGUUCCGGGCCAGAAGCAUAGAAAGGGGAUAUGAGAUCAUCAGUCGAUGAGCACUGAUGCAAGUCACUCUGGCCCUGUAGAGGCCAGUGCUAUAACCAGUUCUGGUGAUGGAGGAUGCCAAGGUCAGCUAUGCAAAUAGAAGUUCAGGACUGAUCUCAAGAGCUGGGACAAGUGUGGCAAGGAUGGAACCAGAGCAAGACUAGAAGCUUCUGUGAAACCUCAUUACUUGUUUGGUGAGGCCCUAGGCAGGUCUCAGACAAGCAAGUGCUUCUUUUGAUCUUCCCCAUGAACUUUAGGGUUGGGGUGAAGAAGAGCUUUGAGGAAAUUUUGGGAGUUGGGGACACUGAGAAUUCCAAAGAAAGAGGACUUUUAAGUCCUUAGAAUUUUGUGAAAACCAUAUAGUUUUUACAAGUAGCUGAAAUGUCUACUAUUACAACCACGGAGGGUCAUGAUUGAGAAGGGUGGAGGUCCCAGUUAAAUGGGAAUUAGAAUUUUAUAUAAUCACACAGAUCAUUAUUUAGUUUUCUAAUAGUGGGGAGAAAUACUGCUUUUUCAUACUCCCAGAAUUCAGAGUCCUGGGCUAGCAGAGGCUUUUCUCUUCAACCCUUUUCCAUCCAGUGGUUAGUAGAGUUGGGGCAGCUUAAGCAGAAGCAUAAAGAGUUUUCUCAUUUGUCAGUUAGGGUUGUAAGAGUGAAAAUUAUGAGACUGGCCUUAAAUUAAUAAUUUUAUUAAUAAAAGGUAGGGGAGAAAGAAAAAUGGAAAAAUGAAAGAACUAUAAAGGUACUUUAUACUUCAUUUAGCUGGCUAUUCUAUGGCUGCCAUUUUGGGCCCCCUAGCAACACUCACAGGGAGGUCCAGUCAGCAACAAACAUGGAAGAGAAGAGCUCAAAAUUCCUUCCUGAAGUCGUGUGUGACAGUUUCCUUCAUACAGGGGAACACUGCUUCAUAUGGACUGACAAAAUUAAUGUCUGCAAACCUGGAACAGUCUGCUAUUGCUUCUGCAGCAUCAAUCUCAGAUAACCUCCAGGAAGUCUCCUAAGAGUACCAUCACAUGUUACUGUUUUAUAGCACAUUCUAUAUGAUACUGUCUUCUAUUAGAAUGAUGUCCAUGUCAUAUUCUGCAACCAGACUAUCACCUUUUUGUUAGCAUUUUAUCAAAGUUUUAGCAUCUUAUCAAAAUAUUAGCAUUAUCAAAAUCUCAUUUUCUUUGUCCUUUUCAAAUAAAGAAUUCACUUUUUUUAAAACAGCAAAAGAAAUCUUAAAACAUAAAAUAGAAAUAAAUGUAACCUGAAAACUUUUAUUUAAUUAAUUUAGGAUAUUUCUCCAUGGUUACAUGAUUCAUGUUCUUUCCCUCCCCUCCUCUCACCCUCCUGUAGCCAAUGAGCAACUCCACUGGGUUUUACAUGUGCCAGAUACAUUUUUAACAUUUAGAACAAAUUACUAUAAUUAUUAAUGAGGUUGAGGGAGCAUAAAAGCCCAUAAAAACAGUCAACAUAUGUAAAGCACUUUGCCAACCUUAAGGUGCUAAAUAAAUGUUAGUCUUUAUAAUUUGUGGUGUUGUUUCUACAAGUAUAUUAACUGUUCUUGCUCAGAUGCCACAUAGAUAUCUGUCCUACUUUUUUAAAGCUUAGAUUACAUUUAGGAAUUUGUUUUACCAACACUGUUAAGAGCACAUUGUGAGUUUCCUUGCAUGAUAUAGGUAAAUCAGGCUACAGUCUGUGCUGGCAUCCCCCUGUAUCCUUGUCAAACUGAAGACCCUAUAUACCCAGCUAUGGCAAAGGGAGAGAAUAGGAUGAAAUGAAAAUGUAGAAAAGUGCUUUAUUCUCAGGCGCCACUACCACAAUAAACUCGGAAUGAUAUAUUUGGGAAGAGAUAUUGGACUGGAAAUAGAAGGAAAAUCCCAGCAUUUUAAUUUUAUCAGUCAUCUUUGUGUCCCGCAUCCACCAUACCACAACCCUAGUGUUAUUGGUCUUCGUGUAAAUCUAUUCGUGUAGAUUCUGAAGUGAUUUUUAUAGGACCUACCACCUCUUUCAUCCUUUGGGACUUUCUAACUACAGGAGCCUGAAGGCUAUAAUUUAUGUCCAGAUUUUGAGAACACAUAGUUUAUUGUGGUAGUGGCACCUCAGAAUAAAGCACUUUGCUACAUCAUUUCCCACAUACAAAAAGAAUCAAUCUGCUGAUCACAAUGCCUUUUAUAAAAAAAUCCAAACUGUCAAUUCUAGGCAAAUGACUUAGUGGAUAGAGAGCCAGGCCUGGAAAGGGGAGAUCCUGGGUCCAAAUGUGGCCUCGGAUACUUUUUAGCUGGGUAACGCUGGGCAAGUCACUUAACCCCAGUUGCCUACCCUUCUCCUGCCUUGGAACUGAUACUUAAUAUUGAUUCUAAGAAGAUUCUAAUUUAAAAAAAAUACCACCAAAAUCUUCAAAGAACCCACUUAUGGAAUUAGAUUAAUUCUUGUUGAAUAAAUUGGCACAACACAGUAUAUAUAUAUAAAUAUAUGUCCAGAUCAUCGUCUUUUAGCUGAGCCAUGAGCAGCAUACAAGAUGAAAAUAUGGCUAUGAAUCUCAGAUCCUAUUAGAUCUCUUUAUCCAUGACAAAUGCGUUUCUUAGCCAUUCACGUUUAAGAAAAUUUUCGAGUUGUUUCUGUAGAUGAUUGAUAAUUAGAUCUUGGCUUCAGUUUAUUUUGUAGGGUAAAAAUUUUUUAAUUGGGAAAAUAGUUUGUAAAUUAAUCAUAGCUCUAACCUUUUAUAUAAAUGCAGUAACUUGAAGUUAUCAGGAUCUGAGUAUGCUUUUUAAGAUACUGUGUUAUUUAUACUCGGGCAUUUUAAAGUGAUUUUUGUAAUAAAAAUUACUUUGCUUCAUCAUGAUUAUUAUCACCAAGUAAAAUGACACUUUUCUUUCAUCUCAAACCUCCUUAGAAAUACCAAUGGGUAAGAGUAUAUUUUGCAGUAUGUUAUAUAGCUGUCAUGUGCUCUGUUCCCAUACCAUUGGACAUUGUUACAAAGAAUCUUAUUUUUAAUGAACUUGAAAAAAAAUCAAUUACUUUUGGAAUAACUUGAAAAACUAUAAAUCCCCCAUUUCUCAAUACAAAUGAUUAUGAAGUAUGCACAAAAGACCAAGUUUUAUUAUUUUUCUUUAAAAAAAUUUUCCCCAUGAUUCAUGUUUUCUUCCUCCCACCUCCCAGAGUUGACAAGCAAUUCCACUGGGUUUUACAUAUCUAUAUCUAUAUCACUCAAACCCAUUUCCAUAUUAUUCAUUUUUGUAAAAGAGCAAUCCUUUAAAACCAAAAUCCCAAAUCAUAUGCCCAUAUAAACGAGUGUUAAAUCACAUGUUUUCUCUGUUUCUAGUCCCAUGGUUCUUUAGAUGUGGAUAGCAUUCUUUCAUAAGUCCCUUAGAAUUAAAAGGACCAAAUUUUAAACCAGUCUUUAGACCCAUUUUUCAUCCAUCCUGAUAUCUACCGUGGUUCAUUACAGCAGAGUCCAAUAUGGUUUUUCCAUAUUAUAUCAUUUUAACCAAAAAUUCUGUCAAUUAUGUGGAAAUUUUCUUAACAUGGCAUUGCCCUGAAUAAAUUUGCAAAAUAUGUUGCAAUAUGUAAUCAAAUGAUCAUCUUUAGCUAUAUAUUGUUUCAUCCAUUUAUAAUGGUAAAUUUUAGUUUCUCAUAUCACAAGCAUCUAAAAGGAGCUUUUUUUUUCAUUAUCUGGUAGGCCAUUUGGAUUUGUUUUGCAUAAUGACUCACUGGGCAUUGGUUCAGCUUGUUGAUAACUUCAGGUAACACCAGUGUUCUCCUAUUAGACAAUUAUAUGAUGCAAGGAAUAUUUUCUAUGUACCCUCACAUGUAGCACAGAGUCUACCACAUGAUAACCCUGUAAUAAAUGCUUGUUGAUUGA